rnacentral:rRNA from 1 species
AUUGAACGCUGGCGGCAUGCCUUACACAUGCAAGUCGAACGGCAGCACGGGUGCUUGCCCCUGGUGGCGAGUGGCGAACGGGUGAGUAAUACAUCGGAACAUGUCCUGUAGUGGGGGAUAGCCCGGCGAAAGCCGGAUUAAUACCGCAUACGAUCUACGGAUGAAAGCGGGGGACCUUCGGGCCUCGCGCUUUCGGGUUGGCCGAUGUCUGAUUAGCUAGUUGGAGGGGUAAAGGCCUACCAAGGCGACGAUCAGUAGCUGGUCUGAGAGGACGACCAGCCACACUGGGACUGAGACACGGCCCAGACUCCUACGGGAGGCAGCAGUGGGGAAUUUUGGACAAUGGGCGAAAGCCUGAUCCAGCAAUGCCGCGUGUGUGAAGAAGGCCUUCGGGUUGUAAAGCACUUUUGUCCGGAAAGAAAUCCUUGGCCCUAAUACGGUCGGGGGAUGACGGUACCGGAAGAAUAAGCACCGGCUAACUACGUG